AUGCAUGAGGUGCGCCCUUUAGCCGUCCGCAAAUAUAUGGCAACUCAAGGCUAUAAGAGUCUUGAUAAGAAAGCUGGUAGGAGACUCCGUCUUGAGAAGGACAAGUACAUGAAGGUUACUCCGAGAUGGUGCGUCAAUAAGGGGGACUGUUGGGAGCGGAUCGUGGACUAUUGGUGUUCCAAAGAGUACAGGGCGAAAAACAAAGAUUAUAGAAAUCGGCGAGCCGGAAUGCUGGAUCCACCACAUCAUCAAGGCAACUUGAACGUUAUGGAGUACGGUGAACGUUGGGUAUAUCUUAUGGAGUUCUUUAUAAGCUUUUUCUUGUCAUACAUGUUGCCAAUCCUUGUGAUGAAAUCUUAA
rnacentral:rRNA from 1 species